UACGAAGGGGGCUAGCGUUGCUCGGAAUCACUGGGCGUAAAGCGCACGUAGGCGGAUCUUUAAGUCAGGGGUGAAAUCCUGGAGCUCAACUCCAGAACUGCCUUUGAUACUGAGGAUCUUGAGUCCGGGAGAGGUGAGUGGAACUCCGAGUGUAGAGGUGAAAUUCGUAGAUAUUCGGAAGAACACCAGUGGCGAAGGCGGCCUGCUGGGCAGUAGCUGACACUGAGGCGCGACAGCGUGGGGAGCAAACAGG
rnacentral:rRNA from 1 species